GGGGCGCGGGAAUGCCGCGGACGGGCGGGAUAACGUGCAUCCCUUCCCAUAACCUCCUCCUGGGCCGGUCGGAGCUGCCUGCGCACUGACCCUCCCACACAUCUCUGCCAGCGAAACAUCACCUCGGAGCAGAUCCUGCCCGCCAGCCAACCGAGAGUACAGUUUACGAUGACAGUCAUGCACGGAUCAAUGUGUCAUCGCCAUUGGGAGGAAUACUUUGAUAAACUGACUUUGAUCAAAUACACGACCGAUAAGCGCUCUGGCAUCACGCUUUGCUAACCCUCUCCUGCAAUCGCUGCACAGGGUUUAAAGGUUCUUCAUAGACUAGUUACACAGUAACGCAAGCCACUAGCACCGUGUGGUGAAAUGAGACCGAAAUGACGGCGUACAGGGACGCAUAUCCAUAUUUUGGGAGGCCUGGCCGUGCGACAGCCGGUCACAGCCCUUGGCUACAGAAAGGUCGCUGUCUCCCAGCAGCCAUUCCAGCAGGAUCAGCACACCAGUAUGGAUCUCUCCCCACCGCUGGAGCAGCUCACACAGGGAUGAGGGAAGAGCACUGGAAGAGGAAGAGCUAAUGAACAAGUCCCUGUAAAAUCCCUAUUACUGUAAAAAGGAUUUGGGCAAAAUUCAUCCUUGUCCAUAGUCACCAGCAAAUGAAAAAAUGUUCCCUGAAUGGUCUGUCUUCUAAAUAAUGGUAUCAUAAGGACAUGCCAUUCUUGAAGGAUGUAAUUUGCAAGCAGUUAAGACAGCAGAAUCAGAACUAUUUGAUAAAAAUCCAUAUAGACAUGGAAAGCAGACCUUACUUUUUGUGUCUGUACUUAAGCACUUCUCAUGAAGCAAAACAACUACUGAUAUAAAAGAGGCACAACAGUGCAGCUGAGACCUAUCCCUCACAACCCACUUUCAGAGCUGCAGCACAGACCUCUGUUCUGUAACCUGUCCCGAGGCCUCAGGCCAGCUGCAUGUUUCCUGGACUACGUUGGCACAGACAAGAAACUCACAGUAAAACACCAGGAUUCGGCAAACACGCAUGCCAACGAAUAUGGAAAUGCAGGAAACAUCUAAGGGCAAACCAGACCAAUGAAAAGAUGGGUAUGUGUUGUUUGACAGACCAGGCAAUGUACCGAGGACAUUGGGGAGGAUGAAUUAGUUUUUGAGACCAUGAGGACAAAGGACCAUAAUAAGGAAGGGAAUGAAGGAGAAAGAACAGAUGGUCCCUUCUUUAUCCUGGAGUUAGAUGAGGGUAAAUGGAAAUCUCCUUGAACAAGCAACAGGAAGGCAGGCAGUCAAUCUCUUCAUGACACUAAUAAUGUUACAUAUACAGUUUGUCUCUGCUAGACAGUAAAAUCAAAUGUUCAAAUCUGCUUUCUUCAUGUCAGGAAUUAUCACCGUAUCAGGAUAUCCCUGAGCCUUGUCUGCGAGGGAGAGCUUGCAAUGGUGCAGUGCUACAUUUAUUACAGGCAAUGGAUUUUUUUAGGUAUCAUUUUUUCUGACAUUUCCUUCCAGGAAUUUCUUUGGGUUUGUUUGUUUGUUUUCUUUUGGGUUUUUUUUUUGUUUUUUUUUUUAAAAAACCCUUGCUUUCUCUACUGCUGUGCCCCAUUUGGUACCAGUCUGAUACUCUAAAGAAUGGGCACGAUGGUUGUCCUCUCUGUUUUGAUUUGCUUAGGCUCAGGUAGAAAACAGUUUCAUUCAGGUGCAGUAGGGACAUCAGAAAUACCAGCCAUCCUCAGAGCUGGAAGAACAGAGAUUAAAAUGGAGUCUGGUGUUCUGAGCCUGAAGCAAACAUCUUGGUUAUGAACGCUUAUAAAAUGCAAGAGCAUUUAAACCCAGCUCUUUUGAGUUCUGAUGAUCCUUCAGAAUUUUAUGGAUGAAUGCCUACAAUCGUCAGUGUUUAUAUAAGAUCUCUUGCUUGUGUCACUUUAUUUAUAUUUGAAUAUUUAGCAAAUUCAGGGAUGCUGGGAGCUAACAGCCAAAAAUGGUAUUUCCCACUACUGAGUUUACUAUUGCUUUGGAGGACUGAUUAUAGAUACAACUGCUAUUUUCUGGGGGCCUUCCCUUCCUUUUUAAGAUUUAGACUCCUUAAGUAUAAAUACAGUGAUGCUCUCUUUGUGAAUGAGAAUGCUGGACUACUGAGAAAUGCACCAAGAAAUAGACUUGGGCCUCUAAUUCUGUUAUUACAUGAACAUGCUGAAAACUACCAACAGGUAGCAAAAUAAGUAAUGCUGAGGUCCUGCUUAGACUGAACUUGCUUGCUAGCAGUUUUUCAACAGCAUGACACAGAGGAAAAGGCAGUUUUGUGGUCACAGAUUAUGGCAGUCUUGUAGAGAAUCCUGCAAGUUGCAACAGAGGAAAUGGCAAGUCUGGGUUUUUUUUGUUGCUGUUGUUGGUUUCUUUCUUCAAAGAAAAAAAGAGAAAAAAUACAGGAAAAACAUGUAAAGGCAGCAUAGCACACAGUAAAAACAUGAAGACUGAACACAGCACUGACCCAAAAGAUGCCAACCACCCAUCUGUGAACUGCAGACACCAUUUAACUGAUCAACCAAACUCAUGUGUCAGUUCUGACAUUGAGACCAGAAAAAAACAAAGCAACAUCACUUUGAUAAUGCUAAAACUUAGGGUUCAAAAAUUUGGGUAAGAGCCUGCAUACCCUUGGCUUUGUGCUACAGAAGGCAGCAUAGCAGUGUCCUGGUACUUCAGGUGUUGACACAGACUCAACAACAGAUCCAAGUCUGGCAGAUGAAGAAUUUUCACUUGCACCUGCCCAUUCCAUACCACUACUGCAGAGUGUCAGGAAUGGCUCCAGAGUUUCUGAAUUGCUUUCUUAGCUGCUGUUACUUACAGAACAUACUGACAAAACCAGUUCACUCAAAUUUGAUGCUAGAAUAGUUCAAGAUUAGAUUGUGGACUACCGAUGCCACAAGGACAACAAAAGAGAUGUAGCAUAUCUUGGAGUCCUGAAGUAAUACAAAUGAAUAACAGCAAGCAAAGUUAUGUAUAUAUAUACCCAGGAUUUAAGAGGUAAAAAACGCUUUCACAGGGGAAAAUGUUCUAUUGCUUUGAUGACCCCUAGCUCUAAAAGUAACAGCCAUGGAUGCUGUAACCAAAUACAGAAUCUUUUAAGAUACCCAAAAAGGUGUGUCUCUUCUAAAAAUAAAUGUGUCUUCACUGAUGUUUUAACUGCUUACAAGAACUGCUCUUCACAUCAUCACUGGCUUGCAAAAGCAAGGCUGAUUUUCAAGAAACCACAUAUUACACACGAUGCUGUGUUCAUGACUCAUGGUAUGACUUCAGAGAGUGGUCUGAGCAAAAUGGAAGUUCACCAGGGGCAAAAAGGGCAGGUGGCUCUCCAUUUACCACAGCUCCCUCAGGCCAUAGGCCCCUGAUGCUUACCUGGUAGCCAGCUCAGGCACUCUGCUAAUCACCAGGUAAAUUAAAGCUCAGAACAGCCGAAUAGGCAUUUGGCACACAGCUUGGCGUGUGGGUGCUCCUGCUUGGCUGGCAAGCUGAGCUGGUUGCCCUGUAGUCAGAAUUGGUAUAGCUGGGGGAGGGAAGAUCACAGGACAGCACGGGGAAGGAAAGAAGCCAAAGGGAGAGAGAGACCUCCCCGUUUAGCAAGCUGUUAGCCCAGGUCAGCUCUCAUCCCAAACUUCCCCAUCAGAGCCUUGCAAACAAAAUGCUAACAGAGAUUAUUUAAAUGACCGAGUAUUAAUAGACUUUCAUAAUAUAACUAACUAUUUAAAGUAACUGAAUAAAAAAAGUGUCAAAUGACAGAUUUACAGAAGCAGCUCACAGCUGAUUAUUGACACAGGAACUAAACCAGCAGAAAUCGAGACAUCUCUACUGCCUGGAGACAUCUCUACUGCCGAACACUGAAAAUACAGUAGAGCUCCUUUCACAACAGUUCUACAGACUAUCAAAACUGUGUUAAAAAUAUAAUUUUUUAAAAUUCUG